rnacentral:lncRNA from 1 species
AUGGCAGCUGAAGUGUCAGUGGGGAUUCGAAGAGAUCUUGUAUUUCCCGCAGUGGAUCCUUGCGCUCUAAGGGCUACAAAGCAAGACUGCUUUUUUUUUUUCCCUGUGCAAAAGGUGCUGGUUUAUGUGCCUGUAUUGCUUCCUGAACAAUAGGAAUAAUGAAAGAAGGUUAAGAAAUAGGAUGAAGCGUCGCUGUGAAAAGUUCGCAGGAACCAGAGCCCAGCUGAAACCCGGAUCAAGCUCCAGUAAAGGUUUGAUGGGCGUAUAUUGUGUAUUUUCAAACUCAGUGCAUCUUGUUGGCGUGUCACGCGGGCAACCCUGACCGUACUGCGCUCUCGCACCACGUGCCAGUCCCUUUGAUGUUCUGUAUUUGCCUCGGGGGGCUCAGUCACCUGCAGACACGCACGCUCCCUCAGGAACACGCGUGUCAGCGUGUGGCCGCAGAGAGAAGGGGAGGACGCCUGGGUGUGUCACCGAGCACCUGGGCCAGGCCCCGCGGGGCUGAGGAGAGGGGGGCUCUG